UACGUAGGGGGCGAGCGUUGUCCGGAUUCAUUGGGCGUAAAGCGCGGGCAGGCGGCCCGCCCAGUCGGCCGUGAAAGCGCCGGGCUCAACUCGGCGAGGACGGGCGAAACAGGUGGGCUAGAGGCUGGCAGAGGGCGGUGGAAUUCCGGGUGUAGUGGUGGAAUGCGUAGAGCUCCGGAGGAACACCAGUGGCGAAGGCGGCCGCCUGGGCCAGCCCUGACGCUGAGCCGCGAAAGCGUGGGGAG
rnacentral:rRNA from 1 species